CGGGGUGUGGCGCAGUCUGGUAGCGCACCUGCAUGGGGUGCAGGGGGUCGCUGGUUCGAGUCCAGUCACCCCGACCA
rnacentral:tRNA from 2 species